CCCGCACAAGCGGUGGAGCAUGUGGUUUAAUUCGAAGCAACGCGAAGAACCUUACCAGGUCUUGACAUCCCGAUGCUAUUUCUAGAGAUAGAAAGUUACUUCGGUACAUCGGUGACAGGUGGUGCAUGGUUGUCGUCAGCUCGUGUCGUGAGAUGUUGGGUUAAGUCCCCGCAACGAGCGCAACCCCUAUUGUUAGUUGCCAUCAUUCAGUUGGGCACUCUAGCGAGACUGCCGGUAAUAAACCGGAGGAAGUGGGGAUGACGUCAAAUCAUCAUGCCCCUUAUGACCUGGGCUACACACGUGCUACAAUGGUUGGUACAACGAGUUGCGAGUCGGUGACGGCGAGCUAAUCUCUUAAAGCCAAUCUCAGUUCGGAUUGUAGGCUGCAACUCGCCUACAUGAAGUCGGAAUCGCUAGUAAUCGCGGAUCAGCACGCCGCGGUCGAAUACGUUCCCGGGCCUU
rnacentral:rRNA from 1 species